rnacentral:rRNA from 1 species
GACGGAGGGGGCAAGCGUUGUUCGGAAUUAUUGGGCGUAAAGGGUGCGCAGGCGGUCUCGUAAGCUGGGUGUGAAAGCCCCGGGCUUAACCUGGGAAUGGCAUUCAGGACUGCGAGGCUUUGAGUGCGGCAGAGGGAGGUGGAAUUCCACGUGUAGCAGUGAAAUGCGUAGAGAUGUGGAGGAACACCGAUGGCGAAGGCAGCCUCCUGGGCCAGCACUGACGCUCAUGCACGAAAGCGUGGGGAGCAAACAGG